CCUACGGGAGGCAGCAGUAGGGAAUCUUUCACAAUGGGCGAAAGCCUGAUGGAGCAACGCCGCGUGCAGGAUGAAGGCCUUCGGGUUGUAAACUGCUUUUAUAAGCGAGAAAUAUGAUGGUAACUUAUGAAUAAGGAUCGGCCAACUACGUGCCAGCGGCGGCGGUCAUACGUCGGGCCCGAGCAUUAUCCGGAGUGACUGGGGGUAAAGAGUUGCGUAGGUGGGAUAAUAAGUAGCUAGUGGAAUCUGGGGGCUCAACCAUUCAGACUAUAAUCUAAACUGUUAAGCCCGAGAACGUUAGAGGUAACCGGAAUUUCUAGUGUAGGAGUGAAAUCCGUAGAUAUUAGAAAGAACACCGAUUGCGAAGGCAGGUUACUAAGACGGUACUGACACUAAGGCACGAAAGCGUAGGGAGCAAACGGGAUUAGAUACCCGUGUAGUC
rnacentral:rRNA from 1 species